rnacentral:rRNA from 1 species
UACGUAGGGGGCAAGCGUUGUCCGGAAUUAUUGGGCGUAAAGAGCGUGUAGGCGGCCAGAUAAGUCCGCUGUGAAAUCUCGGGGCUUAACUCCGAAACUGCAUUUGAUACUGCGGUGCUUGAGGACUGGAGAGGAGACUGGAAUUUAUGGUGUAGCAGUGAAAUGCGUAGAUAUCAUAAGGAAGACCAGUGGCGAAGGCGGGUCUCUGGACAGUUCCUGACACUGAGACACGAAGGCCAGGGGAGCAAACGGG